UACGAAGGGUGCAAGCGUUACUCGGAAUUACUGGGCGUAAAGCGUGCGUAGGUGGUUCGUUAAGUCUGAUGUGAAAGCCCUGGGCUCAACCUGGGAAUGGCAUUGGAAACUGGCGAUCCAGAGUGCGGUAGGGGGUAGUGGAAUUCCCGGUGUAGCAGUGAAAUGCGCAGAUAUCGGGAGGAACACCAAUGGCGAAGGCAGCUUGCUGGGACGGUACUGACGCUGAGACGCGAAAGCGUGGGGAGCAAACAGG
rnacentral:rRNA from 1 species